ACCAGUUGACUAAAUCUGUUGUUUUCCUCUUCAAUAUACACAGAAGUAUGAAUUUGAUUUGAUUUUGAUUUGAUUUGAUUUGAUAACAGACUACAUGUUUUAAAAUAUAAUAUUUAUUCUUGCAGAUGAAAACCUGGCAACAAAUACAUAUGACGAUAUAACUCUAAGGAGAGUCCCCACAGAAAAUGAUACAGGCUAGAUGGACUAGUUGUCGAAAAGUCAAGCAAGAUGUGUCAGAUGCUCUUAAAACAAAUAAAGAUUAAAAUUCUAAUACAUUUAUAAAACAACUAGAGCUCAAUCCAUCGUAGUCCAACAAGAUGUCAUCCACGUGUGACGAUUGCAAGGUCGACACAAUCCAUCGCGCGUGCAUGGGUUUUAGCACGCUAAUCCUGAGGUGGAUCGUUUCUUUGUUUUGACAUCCGUGGGAUGUGGCAGUCCUGUUUGCCGUUUUAUGGUGAAAGUGACGUACUUAUACAUUCUUAGGAAGAUGCAGUUGUAAUGGUACAUGUAUGCUAAUGUUUAGCCAGAUUAAAAAGUAUGUAACUGGUAUCCCAACG